UAUGGAGGGUGCAAGCGUUGUCCGGAAUCACUGGGCGUAAAGGGCGCGUAGGCGGCUCGGUAAGUAGGGGGUGAAAUCCUGCGGCUUAACCGCAGGGCUGCCUUCUAAACUGUCGAGCUUGAGCACGGUAGAGGCAGGUGGAAUUCCCGGUGUAGCGGUGGAAUGCGUAGAGAUCGGGAAGAACAUCAGUGGCGAAGGCGGUCUGCUGGGCCGUUGCUGACGCUGAGGCGCGACAGCGUGGGGAGCAAACAGG
rnacentral:rRNA from 1 species